rnacentral:rRNA from 1 species
AUUGAACGCUGGCGGCAGGCCUAACACAUGCAAGUCGAGCGGUUGACGGGAGCUUGCUCCCUGAUUCAGCGGCGGACGGGUGAGUAAUGCCUAGGAAUCUGCCUAUUAGUGGGGGACCACGUUUCGAAAGGAACGCUAAUACUGCAUACGUCCUACGGGAGAAAGCAGGGGACCUUCGGGCCUUGCGCUAAUAGAUGAGCCUGGGUCGGAUUAGCUUGUUGGUGAGGUAAUGGCUCACCAAGGCGACGAUCCGUAACUGGUCUGAGAGGAUGGUCAGUCACAGUGGGACUGAGACACGGUCCAGACUCCUACGGGAGGCAGCAGUGGGGAAUAUUCGACAAUGGACGAAAGCCUGAUCCAGCCAUGCCGCGUGAGUGAAGAAGGUCUUCGGAUUGUAAAGCACUUUAAGUUGGGAGGAAGGGUUGUAGAUUAAUACUCUGCAAUUUUGACGUUACCGACAGAAUAAGCACCGGCUAACUCUGUGCCAGCCGCCGCGGUAA